UGAAUUCACCUAUUUCCAUCUUUGUUCUCUUUAGCACCUACGCUGAAAGCACUGGCAUACAUGAUUGGGAUUCAGAGAAACAAUAGCCAAGGGAUCAGGGAAGGACAGCAUGCAAAUCAUUCUACUCUGCAAAGAAGGGAUGUCUCUUAUAAACAACAUAUUGUUGAAUCCUGCUUUCUAAUUCAUUCUUCUAUCUUGUUCUGUUUUAUUGAUUGGUAUAUACUUUUUCAUGACAAAAAGAAGAACUUCAGGAGCAGAGUUUCAAAGAGUAUACAGAGCAAUGCAGUCACACAACUUCCAAGAUGCUGACAAAAAGGGAACAGCAGGCAGGCACAAAACUGAAAUUUACAUUGAGCUGGUCAUAAAUGCCCAUAAUGACAAUUCCUUGGUGUUCAUGUUUUCUUCCUCUCUUGGGUCAACUUGAAAUGAAGAAGCUCCAUUUUAAUUUCUUUAUAGUGGAAUGCUAUCAGGAAAUGAAUAUCCUGGGACCCCUUUUAAGCCAAUAGCCAACAGAGCAGCAAAUCUGUUAAAAGAUACAUUUCCUAUGUAAUGCAUGCCUAGCAUGAAAUAUUCUGAGCAGGACAUGAUUGCUUUUUAAAGAAAAUUAUCUGCAAGAUAGUUUUGUGUAUCAGGUUUUAAAAAUGAAAAACUUUGCUGAAUAUUAUUAAGGAAAAAAUAACUCCAAAUUAAUCCUUUACAAAUGUAAAUAUGUAAAUAAGAAGAAAAAUCGAUUUUUAAAAAGAAAAGACACAUAUUAAGAGAUUGGUCUCAUGUGUGACACUCCAUCUCUCAAUCAUGACCAUUUCCACUGUAUGUCCUCCCAUACCUGGAAUUCAAAGUCUCCUCUUAUCUAUUCCCUGACUUCCCUUGGCUUUCUUGAAGCCUUAGGUAAAUUUCCAACUUCUAACAAAAGCCUUUCCCAAUCUUCUUUAAUCAUAGUGCUUUCUCUGUGAUUAUGCCAAUAAUUAUGUGUUGUCUCUUUCUUAGAUUGUUAGCCUCUUGAGAGUAUAAACUGUCUUUCACCUUUCCUUAUGUAUCUCUAGCACUGAACACGAUGCUUACUACAUAAUAGGUACUUAACAAGUGUUUGAUGAUUUGAUGUGUUGAUUUGUUUAAGAUCUUUUAAUGUAACUUUAUUGUUACUUGUUAUAAUUUGUACUGUAUGGACAAGUUGAGAAACUAGGAUCCUAUCACUAAGAGAAAAGUCUCUAAAAUUUGACUUUAUGCUUCUUUGGUUUGAUAAAAAUUCUACUAUGGAAGAUGGUAACUAAUAACAGUUAUGAACAUAUUUCACUGAAAGUGUAGAGAAUAUAAGAUCCCUUUGGGCUUGUUUAGGUAAAUAUGGCAAAAUAUUACCUUAAAAGUUCUCCUUAGACAAGGUGUCUCCCAAGCAUAUACUGUCUUGCAAAAAAAAAAAAAGAAAGAUGUAAAAGUGGGUUUAAAUUGUAGUAGUAAGUAUUUAGCUUAGAGAUAAAAAAAAGAAUAUCUAAGAAUAAGGGCUAGAAUGCAUUUUUAGUGUUUUCCAACUCUUUUGAAGAGAUUAGUCUCUUUUGCUAUUGUGUUAAAAACUGGACAUGAAACUAUUGAUCCAAAAUUAUUUGGAUGAAUUAAUAAAAAUUCACAGUCCUUUAAUCUUAUAAUUCCA
ensembl:lncRNA